rnacentral:rRNA from 1 species
AAGUGUAAAUUAGAUUUACCAGGGUACUAUUAGUUAGGAUCUUUAAACCCAAAGAAUUUGGCGGUAUCUCAUACCAUUCAGAGGAACCUACCCCAUGAUUGAUAGUACACGAUUAACUUUACUUAGUUUAUUUGUUUGUAUAUCUCCGUUAUCAGAAAAUCUUUUUAGAGUUAUAAUUUUCCAGAUUUAUAAUUAUAAAAUAUUUCAGGUCAAGGUGCAGCUUAUAAUUAAGAGGAGGUGGGUUACAAUAAGGUUUUACUUAUAAUGGAUUUAAUAGUGAAAUACUAUUAAUGAAGGUGGAUUUGAUUGUAAUUUGAAUUAUUUACUUUAAUUGAUAUUGGCUCUGAGGU